rnacentral:rRNA from 1 species
UACGUAGGGUGCGAGCGUUGUCCGGAAUUAUUGGGCGUAAAGAGCUCGUAGGCGGUUUGUUGCGUCUAUCGUGAAAACCUGCAGCUUAACUGUGGGCUUGCGGUGGAUACGGGCAGACUUGAGUUCGGUAGGGGAGACUGGAAUUCCUGGUGUAGCGGUGAAAUGCGCAGAUAUCAGGAGGAACACCGGUGGCGAAGGCGGGAUCCUGGGCCAGUACUGACGCUGAGGAGCGAAAGCGUGGGGAGCAAACAGG